rnacentral:lncRNA from 1 species
AGAAAAUCAAAGCCCGUAUCAUCUGCUUCACGUCCCGCAUUUACUUAACGCUACCAGGCCUUCUUUUUCUUGAAGUGCUCUUUGAGCCUAUGUGGUUCCAGCAUGAGUCUCCUUGGGGGAUAUGUUAGGGGAUGCUGUCAGAACAACUACUUCUUGAGAAGUCCAAGGAACCGGCAGAAACCUUUACCAAAAAGAUGAUCAACUCAGAUACUGCUGCAGUGCAAAAGGACAGGCAAGGAGAAAGUGUGAGUUACAUACAUGGUUCAGGCCAGCCAACUCAGGGUAAUUUGAGUCUAUCCAUGCGAAUACUAGCCACUCGCAUUUUCACAUAGUCCAAGAGUUGAUCUGGGCUAGCAAAAUUAAUCUUAUUUACUACAAGGAAAAAUCUACGUUCUUAAAAUCCAUUUUGAACAAAAGUUUGAGUAUACCCAGGUUGGAAUGUGCUCAAGAGCAGGUAUUAAGUCUUUUUAAGAUUAUUAGGCCAUAAAGAGGUCUGCACAUUAAAUUCUACUGAGUU